rnacentral:tRNA from 1 species
AAAAAUUUAGUUAAAUUUAUAACAUUAGUUUGUCAAACUAAAAUUAUUUUAAAAAAUAAUUUUUU